AACUCCUCUAGUGUCCGAAAAUCUUGUUGUUGAUCUUGGAGGCCGGUUCUUGUGGGUUGAUUGUGAUCAAAAUUAUGUCUCAUCCACGUACCGUCCUGUUCGAUGUCGAACUUCUCAAUGCUCCCUGUCGGGGUCCAUUGCAUGCGGAGAUUGCUUUAAUGGACCCCGACCAGGGUGCAAUAAUAAUACUUGCGGGGUUUUUCCUGAAAACCCCGUGAUUAAUACUGCUACUGGCGGUGAGGUUGCCGAAGAUGUUGUGUCGGUGGAGUCUACUGACGGGUCGAGUU
rnacentral:lncRNA from 1 species